CUUUAAAUAUGAAAGCAGGGAAGACUGAAAUGGCAACAGGCAAAGAAUUAAAACUGCUCAUUUGAAUGUUAAAUACCCUGAGCUGGAAGUUGAACUAAGGCAACUAUCUCACCUGAAAUCUCGUAAGGUAUUCUGAGAGCAAGGUCAUCUCUGUCUUCCCUGAAUCUUCACUUUUGGUUUCUGACACCUCAGCGCUUUCAGACGCAGUGUUUUCUGGUUGUUUUGAUAGUGCAUCAUCCAAGCAUUGCUUUAGCUUGUCAAU